rnacentral:lncRNA from 1 species
CAGCCCGGGACCUCCCAGGACAAGGUCCAAGCUCUUACCUCAGGUUUUGGCCUUCUGGGCCAGGACUCCAGUCCCAGCACAGUGGCAGGAAGAGGGUCUCAUGCCACCCCUCAACCCUGAUAAUCCUGCAUGCAUGGCACAGGCCUCAAACCUCCUCUCCCCUGGCCUGGUCCCACCCUAGUGGGCCCGGCAGUGGGGACUUCCAUCCUGCCUCUGU